rnacentral:precursor_RNA from 10 species
UUCCUUCUGAGGAAUAUCAGACCUGUGGGAAAGGUCCAACCUCACAUGUCCUGUAUAGAAUAAAGAGGGAUAUAUGUGGUCAGACCUAUCCCACAGGCCCUGUAUUCUUACUCAAGUGCA